UGGGGAAUAUUGCACAAUGGGCGCAAGCCUGAUGCAGCCAUGCCGCGUGUAUGAAGAAGGCCUUCGGGUUGUAAAGUACUUUCAGCGGGGAGGAAGGGAGUAAAGUUAAUACCUUUACUCAUUGACGUUACCCGCAGAAGAAGCACCGGCUAACUCCGUGCCAGCAGCCGCGGUAAUACGGAGGGUGCAAGCGUUAAUCGGAAUUACUGGGCGUAAAGCGCACGCAGGCGGUUGAUUGAGUCAGAUGUGAAAUCCCCGGGCUUAACCCGGGAAUUGCAUCUGAUACUGGUCAGCUAGAGUCUAGUAGAGGGGGGUAGAAUUCCAUGUGUAGCGGUGAAAUGCGUAGAGAUGUGGAGGAAUACCGGUGGCGAAGGCGGCCCCCUGGACAAAGACUGACGCUCAGGUGCGAAAGCAUGGGGAGCAAACAGG
rnacentral:rRNA from 1 species